rnacentral:rRNA from 1 species
CGGGGUGAGUAACGCGUGGGUAACCUGCCUCAUACAGGGGGAUAACAGUUAGAAAUGACUGCUAAUACCGCAUAAGCGCACGAGAUCGCAUGAUAAAGUGUGAAAAACUCCGGUGGUAUGAGAUGGACCCGCGUCUGAUUAGCUGGUUGGUGGGGUAACGGCCCACCAAGGCGACGAUCAGUAGCCGACCUGAGAGGGUGACCGGCCACAUUGGGACUGAGACACGGCCCAAACUCCUACGGAAGGCAGCAG